AAAGGGUCCGUAGGCGGUUUGAUAAGUCAGUGGUGAAAGCCCAUCGCUCAACGAUGGAACGGCCAUUGAUACUGUCAGACUUGAAUUACUAGGAAGUAACUAGAAUAUGUAGUGUAGCGGUGAAAUGCUUAGAUAUUACAUGGAAUACCAAUUGCGAAGGCAGGUUACUACUAGUGGAUUGACGCUGAUGGACGAAAGCGUGGGGAGCGAACAGGAUUAGAUACCCGUGU
rnacentral:rRNA from 1 species